rnacentral:rRNA from 1 species
GACGAACGCUGGCGGCGUGCUUAACACAUGCAAGUCGAACGAAAAGAGGGAAAGAGCUUGCUCUUUCCGGAAUUGAGUGGCAAACGGGUGAGUAACACGUAAACAACCUGCCUUCAGGAUGGGGACAACAGACGGAAACGACUGCUAGUACCGAAUAAGUUCCAAGGGCCGCAUGGCCCAUGGAAGAAAAGGUGGCCUCUACCUGUAAGCUAUCGCCUGAAGAGGGGUUUGCGUCUGAUUAGCUGGUUGGAGGGGUAACGGCCCACCAAGGCGACGAUCAGUAGCCGGUCUGAGAGGAUGAACGGCCACACUGGAAUUGAGACACGGUCCAGACUCCUACGGGAGGCAGCAGUGGGGAAUCUUCCGCAAUGGGCGAAAGCCUGACGGAGCAACGCCGCGUGAGUGAUGACGGCCUUCGGGUUGUAAAACUCUGUGAUCCGGGACGAAAAGGCAGAGUGCGAAGAACAAACUGCAUUGACGGUACCGGAAAAGCAAGCCACGGCUAACUACGUG